rnacentral:rRNA from 1 species
UACGUAGGUGGCAAGCGUUGUCCGGAUUCACUGGGCGUAAAGGGUGCGCAGGCGGCCGGGUGUGUCAGAUGUGAAAUCCCGAGGCUUAACCUCGGAACUGCGUCUGAAACUACUCGGCUAGAGUACUGGAGAGGGUAACGGAAUUCACGGUGUAGCAGUGAAAUGCGUAGAUAUCAGGAGGAACACCGGCGGCGAAGGCGGCCCUCUGGCUCGUUGCUGACGCUGAAACGCGAAAGCGUGGGGAGCAAACAGG